rnacentral:rRNA from 1 species
AACGAACGCUGGCGGCAGGCCUAAUACAUGCAAGUCGAACGCACCGCAGGGUGAGUGGCAGACGGGUGAGUAACGCGUGGGAACCUUCCUAGUAGUACGGAAUAACUUCGGGAAACCGUAGCUAAUACCGUAUAAGCCCUCCGGGGGAAAGAUUUAUCGCUACUAGAUGGGCCCGCGUCGGAUUAGCUAGUUGGUGAGGUAAUGGCCCACCAAGGCGACGAUCCGUAGCUGGUCUGAGAGGAUGAUCAGCCACACUGGGACUGAGACACGGCCCAGACUCCUACGGGAGGCAGCAGUAGGGAAUAUUGGACAAUGGGCGAAAGCCUGAUCCAGCCAUGCCGCGUGAGGGAAGAAGGCCUUAGGGUUGUAAAGCUCUUUUGGCGGGGAAGAUAAUGACGGUACCCGCAGAAUAAGCCCCGGCUAACUUCGUGCCAGCCGCCGCCGUA